UACUGAGGGUGCGAGCGUUAAUCGGAAUUACUGGGCGUAAAGCGAGUGUAGGCGGUUAUAUAAGUCGGAUGUGAAAUCCCCGGGCUCAACCUGGGAAUUGCACUCGAUACUGUAUAGCUAGAGUUUGAUAGAGGUAAGUGGAAUUCCAGGUGUAGCGGUGAAAUGCGUAGAUAUCUGGAGGAACAUCAGCGGCGAAGGCGGCUUACUGGAUCAAAACUGACGCUGAGGCUCGAAAGCGUGGGGAGCAAACAGGAUUAGAUACCCUGGUAGUCCACGCCCUAAACUAUGUCAACUAGACGUUGGGUUCAUUAAGGAACUUAGUGUCGAAGCUAACGCGUUAAGUUGACCGCCUGGGGAGUACGGCCGCAAGGUUGAA
rnacentral:rRNA from 1 species